UGAAGGCGAGGGGCGGGGCCGCAGGGUGACGCUAGGGCGGGGCAGGUGGCGCGGUCCGCGGGUGGGCGUCCCGAAGGUGUCCCCGCCGACGAGAUGCGGCCAAGGGCAGCGCUGGGCUUUGCCGGUGUCCAGAGUGUGAUCCUGGUGGGGGCGUGUGAGUGCCGCGUGCCCUCGCGUCGGAUUCACUUCGCACCUUCGACCUCAGAUGGGUCCCCUUGUCCCUGGACACUGGGGUCGGCCCGGCCCCCACCCCGUCCUCCAGGUGCUACGUGCCUGCAUUGGGCCAGUCCGGAGCUUUCUGGAUCCCUGGAGCUGAGCGCCUUGUUCCACUUGGUGAAUAACCUUACUUAACAACAGUGCGGGCAUAAUGCCGUUACUACACCCACCAUCGCAGAAUCGAGGCUGCAUGUGGUUACAUUUAUGUGACAUUUUGUAAUGUCACUUAAGACAGAAGAAAGAGCAGUGGGUGCUGGGGGCAGGAGAAGGAGGAGACUCACUACAAAAGGCACAGGGAACUUGUGGGUCUUCUGUAUCUUGGUGGUAGUAGUUAUGGGAAACAAAAGGCAAAAGAAAAAAUUAAAUGUCCUUAUUGUCUACAGCCCAUUGGCAAGUCCUUGAAACAAGUGGACUGACCUUCCUCUAAGAGCUCAGCUGCCUUGAUGAUGACACUUUGCUAGGGGCAAAGGGCAAUCUUAGCUUAAGGUUAUCCCGGCCCUCCAGGAUCCCGUGAGUCUACUUUAACAUAUAAAAAUUCCUUUUGAAACUUCCUUUAUUUCCCCCCUCCUCAAGAUAUAUGUUGGCAAUCAUCCUCCAAGCUUAUGGCCCCCUGAUAUACAUCUGAAGAGUCUCAUGACUGAGGUUUUACUAAACAGUAGUAAAUGACCUUUUCCUAACAGCAGCUAGCCCCCUCAUGAUCCUAGAAACCUUGCUUCCAAAAUUCCUUAGAGACUUACGCUAUCCCUAACCCUCUCCCAACCUGGAGGUAUAUAAUCAGUCAUCCGUCACAACCCCAGUGCAGCUCUUUCUUCCCGUGGGUCCUGUCCCUGCACCUUAAUAAAAAGCACCUUUUUGGACCA
ensembl:lncRNA